GGGCUUGUGGUUCAGUGGUAUAAUACUCCCUUAGCAAUUGGUCACCAAUUGGGAGUGGUCCGGGGUUCGAUUCCCCGCAAGUCCA
rnacentral:tRNA from 1 species